AGUAACGGCGAGUGAAGCGGCAACAGCUCAAAUUUGAAAUCUGGCUCUUUUAGAGUCCGAGUUGUAAUUUGCAGAGGGCGCUUUGGCUUUGGCAGCGGUCCAAGUUCCUUGGAACAGGACGUCACAGAGGGUGAGAAUCCCGUACGUGGUCGCUAGCUAUUGCCGUGUAAAGCCCCUUCGACGAGUCGAGUUGUUUGGGAAUGCAGCUCUAAAUGGGAGGUAAAUUUCUUCUAAAGCUAAAUAUUGGCCAGAGACCGAUAGCGCACAAGUAGAGUGAUCGAAAGAUGAAAAGCACUUUGGAAAGAGAGUCAAACAGCACGUGAAAUUGUUGAAAGGGAAGCGCUUGCAGCCAGACUUGCUUGCAGUUGCUCAUCCGGGCUUUUGCCCGGUGCACUCUUCUGCAGGCAGGCCAGCAUCAGUUUGGGCGGUGGGAUAAAGGUCUCUGACACGUUCCUUCCUUCGGGUUGGCCAUAUAGGGGAGACGUCAUACCACCAGCCUGGACUGAGGUCCGCGCAUCUGCUAGGAUGCUGGCGUAAUGGCUGUAAGCGGCCCGUCUUGAAACACGGACCAAGGAGUCUAACAUCUAUGCGAGUGUUUGGGUGUCAAGCCCGAGCGCGUAAUGAAAGUGAACGGAGGUGGGAACCCGCAAGGGUGCACCAUCGACCGAUCCUGAAGUUUACGGAAGGAUUUGAGUAAGAGCAUGGCUGUUGGGACCCGAAAGAUGGUGAACUAUGCUUGAAUAGGGUGAAGCCAGAGGAAACUCUGGUGGAGGCUCGCAGCGGUUCUGACGUGCAAAUCGAUCGUCAAA
rnacentral:rRNA from 4 species